rfam:Moorella glycerini strain NMP genome assembly, contig: M_glycerini_NMP_DRAFT_scaffold-72
AACUUCAUACGGUAUUUACCGUAGACAGCAGGUGCCAGGUAGGCUUAAUAUCCUGCCGAGGUAGUUAAAAAUUAACCUUCCAGGUUUAAGGUUAAUUAUAAUUAUCUUUUGCCCUCGUUUGUCUGCGGGGGCUUUUAUUUUUGGCAGA